AGUGAACGCUGGCGGUAGGCCUAACACAUGCAAGUCGAACGGCAGCACAGUAAGAGCUUGCUCUUACGGGUGGCGAGUGGCGGACGGGUGAGGAAUACAUCGGAAUCUACUUUUUCGUGGGGGAGAACGUAGGGAAACUUACGCUAAUACCGCAUACGACCUACGGGUGAAAGCAGGGGAUCUUCGGACCUUGCGCGAUUGAAUGAGCCGAUGUCGGAUUAGCUAGUUGGCGGGGUAAAGGCCCACCAAGGCGACGAUCCGUAGCUGGUCUGAGAGGAUGAUCCGCCACACUGGAACUGAGACACGGUCCAGACUCCUACGGGAGGCCGCAGUGGGGAAUAUUGGACAAUGGGCGCAAGCCUGAUCCAGCCAUACCGCGUGGGUGAAGAAGGCCUUCGGGUUGUAAAGCCCUUUUGUUGGGAAAGAAAAGCAGCAGGUUAAUACCCCGCUGUUCUGACGGUACCCAAAGAAUAAGCACCGGCUAACUUCGUG
rnacentral:rRNA from 1 species